AUCUACCUUAAUAAGAUAAUGUAUGUGGACUUUUCCAAUGAAUUUGUCUUCGUGACGAAAAUUUGACCUUUUUCAUAGAUGAAAGACCUCACUGCAUAUAAAAACCUCGUUACAAAACCCAAUAGCCAAUAGGUAUAGAUUGCAAAAGCACAUCCCACAAGAAUGAGGCUUAAUCUCUACAAGCAUGCUGUUUUCUAUGCUCUCAUUAUAACCUUCAUUAUGUUAACGAUAAACUCCGGAUGUAUAUUCGGCCAAGCCAGAGUAACAAACUUUGGUGGGUCGAUUCAAGAAGGUCUCCCCCACCGCAUCAAUAGGGAGCUUCCACCCGGAGGCAAUCCUUCUCCGGCAGCAGAUCCCAAUAGUCACGUGCAUCACUAAGGCUAUCGAAUUAGACCUAUAAUAGAGGUUUAUAUUACAUGCUUGUAUUUUCUUUUUCUUUCGUUGAAAUAUGACAUAUAUUGAUGUGGUUUUGUAGACGUAGAAAUAAUUACUGAAUUAUAUAAAUCGUUGUGUUUCGUACUUUGUUUUCUA